rnacentral:rRNA from 1 species
CCGGGCGACCGGCGCACGGGUGAGUAACACGUAUGCAACCUGGGCCGUGACAGAUGGAUAACCGGGAGAAAUCCCGCCUAAUACAACAUAAUGCCGGGAGGGGACAUCCCCUGGCCGGCCAAAGGGGGCGACCCCGGUCACGGAUGGGCAUGCGGCGCAUUAGGUAGGUUGGUGGGGCAACGGCCCACCAAGCCGACGAUGCGUAGGGGUUCUGAGAGGAAGGUCCCCCACAUUGGAACUGAGACACGGUCCAAACUCCUACGGAAGGCAGCAG